rnacentral:rRNA from 1 species
UACGGAGGGGGCUAGCGUUGUUCGGAAUUACUGGGCGUAAAGCGCGCGUAGGCGGACCUGCAAGUCGGGGGUGAAAGCCCGAGGCUCAACCUCGGAACUGCCUUCGAUACUGCGGGUCUCGAGUCCGGGAGAGGUGAGUGGAAUUCCUAGUGUAGAGGUGAAAAUUCGUAGAUAUUAGGAAGAACACCAGUGGCGAAGGCGGCUCACUGGCCCGGUACUGACGCUGAGGCGCGAAAGGCGUGGGGAGCAAACAGGG